rnacentral:rRNA from 1 species
CCGCGUCCCCAAGUCAGGCGUGAUU